rnacentral:tRNA from 1 species
AAGAAUUUAAGUUAAAAAAACUAUUAACCUUCAAAGUUAAAUUUAGAUCAUAUCUAAUUCUUA